AUGAGAUGAAAAUAAUGGGAGUUCCUAUUUUGGUCUUGAUUAUGUUGAACUUGGCAGAAGCUGAUUAUAAUCCUUCACUUGUAAAAGUUGUACCAAACAUUGUGUUUAAUAAACUCACAUGUCCUGCCCAAUGUGGCGUAGAUUGUCUAUUAUCUAUCCUUGGGUAUCCAGUAUGUUUUGCUAUUUGUGUUGCAAAAUGCCCUAAAACGUCUAUUGAUGUCGACAAUUGUAUCGCUACCUGUGGCAUAAACAAGUCCAUUAUCAUCAACAUUGAUGCUCGUGGUGAUGUGGUCUCCAUGGUGGAUUCUUGCUUACAAAAAUGUCAGAGAAAGUAAUUUGUUAAUUUUAAUAAUGUUGAAGAACAAGGUUAUUAGGGAAAAUAAUACAUAUGCGUGGCUGUAAUAAACAGAUAUUAAUCAAUGAGUAAUAUUUGUAUUUUUA